GAACCCUCGCCCAUCUGAUAAAACUGGAAGGGGAACCCUCGCCCGCAUCUCUCUAGCCGCCGCCGCGAGGAUACCCUGCUCAGCAGAUCGAUCCGCGGCCAUGUGCCUCCGUCAAGUUUCAUAACCACAAACAUGCUAAUUCAUUUGUUUUCGGCACAUAUGCAAAUUCAUCAUUUCCACACGAGGAAGAGAUUACUAAGGAAGCACACACAAAAAAUUAUGCUAAACAAUAUCAGAGUUGUGUACCUUGUGAGCAGGUUACAAAGCAGAUCAAGAAGAAGAAAAUCGAGCUCAAACCAGACAAAUGAUGACCUGGUUAUAUGUGAAGCUAUGUAGGGCAGAGAUGGAGAUGGGCAAAGCAUUAGUUUCCGCCUCAAAAAAUCUAUGAAGUGAUAUUUUUGAGAGACAAUUGUAAUAUAGGGUUUUAUGAUUUUCCCUGAACAUGAUAUUUCCCAAUGUAUCUAUGAAUUAUCAAUAUGGA